AGAGUUUGAUCCUGGCUCAGGACGAACGCUGGCGGCGUGCGUAACACAUGCAAGCCUGGGAGAAGUAGGUAGCAAUAUCUAUUGUAAACCGGCGCACGGGUGAGUAAUAUAUAGGUAACCUGCCCUUUGGUUUGGGAUAACUCGUCGAAAGGCGAGCUAAUACUGAAUGAUGCAGCGGCUCCACAUGGAGAUGUUGUUAAGGCCUUCGGGCGCCAAGGGAUGGGCCUGUAUCCCAUUAGAUAGUUGGCGAGGUAACGGCUCACCAAGUCAAUGAUGGGUAGCUGAUCUGAGAGGAUGAUCAGCCACACUGGAACUGAGACACGGUCCAGACUCCUACGGGAGGCAGCAGUGAGGAAUAUUGCGCAAUGGAUGAAAGUCUGACGCAGCGACGCCGCGUGGAGGAUGAAGGCCCUUUGGGUCGUAAACUCCUGUAGAGUGGGAAGAAUAUCCCUUUUGAAGGGUUUGACGGUACCACUAAAGUAAGGAUCGGCUAACUACGUGCCAGCAGCCGCGGUAAUACGUAGGAUCCGAGCGUUGUCCGGAAUUACUGGGUGUAAAGGGAGCGCAGGCGGGUCUAUAAGUCGACGGUGAAAUCUUCCAGCUCAACUGGAAAACUGCCGCCGAUACUGUAGGUCUUGAAUAUGUCAGAGGGAAACGGAAUUCAUGGUGUAGCGGUGAAAUGCGUAGAUAUCAUGAAGAACACCAGUCGCGAAGGCGGUUUCCUGGGACAUUAUUGACGCUCAUGCUCGAAAGUGUGGGGAGCAAACAGGAUUAGAUACCCUGGUAGUCCACACCUUAAACGAUGAAUACUAGGUGUCGGGUCGCAAGACUCGGUGCCAAAGCUAACGCAUUAAGUAUUCCACCUGGGGAGUACGAUCGCAAGGUUGAAACUCAAAUGAAUUGACGG
rnacentral:rRNA from 1 species